AGUAGUAUCCAAGGGUAAGGAGAAGCCCAAGGAGACAAUCUCCAUAACAAAGAAGAGCAAGGAACACAUUGUGUGUUUCUUGUGCAACCAAAAUGGACAUUAUCGAAGCCAAUGUCCAAAAGGGAAGAAGACAACUAAAGUUAAAGGAGGAAGCACAAAUCAAGGGGGAGCUUUUAAGAGCAAAUCCAAGGUCUAGGCACCACGAAGUCUGAAAAGAGAUUAAACAAGUCAUAACAAACAAAUAACAAUACUGAAGCCACUUGAAUGUUUGGGGCCAUGGCUACAAGCAACAUCCCUAAGUAAACUAAGUAGAGCACCGUGUAAAAUAUGUAAUAGAACCAAAAGAACUUGGAGGUUGUCCAAAAGUAACAAAUUGAUGGAUACGUAACAAUCAAAUAAAUCCUCGUAGGGGAUCUCAAUAGUCAACUGAAAGGUAAAUUUUUAUCUUAAGGAAACAUUUAAACUUACUAAAACGCUACUAAAGUUGGUGUUCAACUUGUGUGAGAGAGUAGGUCCAUGAGGAGUACAUUCCUGUAAAUUUCUCCCGGUAUACCACAGUUCUCUCAAUUGACACAAAUGGUAAAACGAAUGAGCAGUUGUUUAUUUCAAUAAAGAUUGCGGCAGAAUAUGAACAGAUUUUGUUGAUUGACGUAUAGAAAUUAACUAGCUAUUAAACUAAAAGAACAGUAAAUUUCAAAGAGAAGAUAAUGAUACCAAAUUGAUUGAGUCUCGGCUGCAUAAUUUUUUAGUAGUAAUACUAUUAUUAUAAGGUAAGAGUUUGAAUCUUUAAAAAAAAUCCUCUUGUACUGAUUAACUAUUUACCUCCUCAAUUAUGGGAUCGACUGUUUAGAUUUAACUAUUUACCUCCUCAAUUAUGGGAUCGACUGUUUAGAUUUGCUACCAUAUUAGUAUCAGUGCUGUCUAGGGUCGGAAGGAUGAACAAAUCGCCCUUUAUCACGUAUGAGUAGUAGUGCUAGCUGAGAUUGCAUGGCGUGCAAAGUGCAUCCAAAACUAAUAUUUGUUCAAAUCGUUUGUUUGUUUUGUUAGUGUAAUAGCUACAACAUUAGAAUCCUCUUAUUUAAAGGCUAAACUGUAAAAAUGAAAAGUUGUUGGACUAAAUUGGAUGUUGCUCGGAGCCAGCCUCAGGAGUUUCGAAAGGUUGAAGGAGGAGGAUAUUUGGCUUGUUGGAGUAGGUCGCAGGUGUUGUGCCCGUUCUUUGCUAAUGCUUGUUGAGGAGCGGGGAUUGUGGUACACCAAGUGGGGUAGUUCGUCAGCUUCGGUCGCAGAGGUGGAUGAGUGCGGUAGAGGUUGUUGCCUCCUUCGGUGGACAAAUGCAGCAGCGCUUGAAGCUAUGGAGGCGGCAGUUGUCAUAUGAAGCAACGACUACCACUGUCUAAUCCUGGAGAUAUGCCAUGGCGCUCAUCUCAUCUGUAAUUACUGGUGCAUAGGAAAAUGGAUUUUGCAUGAAGAAGGUGGAACUUACAGUUGCUUUCCUUGCUGCCAGAAUAUCGCUCCUAGUGCAACAGAUGUGCAAAGCAUAAAUAAAAUUCGCACCAGAUUGUAUUGAGGACUCGUGUAAUAAGAGAAAUAUUGUUUCCACAGGCAUGCUUUAUAUUGUACCCAACUGUUCUGUGGAUAGCAAGUCGGAAAAGUGAGCUCUUUCAAGUCUCGUGAUGGUGUGCUCAAGCAUUUAGCCAUAUCCUUGCUUUCCCUGCAAUUAAAAUUAUAACACAAGAACAUUAGCAAAUUAUUAGCGAUGUCAUUGUAUUUUAUUUAAUGCAGAGUUUGAACAUAAU